rnacentral:lncRNA from 1 species
UGCACUAUACAUAGUCAUAAACAUUAACCCCACUUUGGAGUCCUCAUCAAUGCUCCAAUGGGGUGACAUAACAUAAAUUAAGUUUGGUUUACAGUAAUCAUCAUUAAACAUUAAGAUCAUGUACUAGAAAGGAAUUAACAUAACACUAUGGUCAAGUACAAUUCUAAACUCCCAUAAGCAUCAUCACAUAACAUUACAAUACUUUACUUAUACAUUACAUCAUAUUCAUAUUCAUGUCCACAUCUAGCUAUUACAGACAACCUGACUCUACUCCUGCUGACCUCCUAGUCUACCAUGUACCUGCAAAUCUGGGGGUUAAGGGAGAAGGGUGAGCUAUAAAGCCCAGUGAGCAGAAUAAUAACAUAUUCAGUUUAUAUCUCAUGCUUUGAUGAAGUGCAACACAACACAAACAAAUCAUAUCAAGGAUGGUAUUGUCACCAAUAGUCCUCUACAUUCCAAGGUGCCGGGACGUAGAAUGGGUCAACCGGUCUUUCUCUUAAAUAUAGCAUAUCAUAACAUUCCAACGUGCCGGGACGUAGAAUGGGUCAACCGGUCUUUCCCUUACAUAGUGCCGGGACGUAGAAUGGGUCAACCGGACUUCCAUACCAUAUCAUACCAUAUCAUAUUACAUCUUAUCAUAUUGAGGACUAAGGAUCAUCCAACAUCCAUCCACAUCAUCAUCAAGUUAUGCAAUGCAACAUAUUCGUGAAUUCUAAUGCAAACAACCUAGAAUAUCACAUGGCAUUCGUGAUGCAUGAACAUGCUCAAAUCAAUAUUUAAUUGCUUUAAAACAUAAGUGUUUAUUCCACUCACCUCUGGCUGAAGCUCUAAGGACUCUGAAGUGACUGACUCACUGUUGGGGUCCUCGGUUCCUCGGGUCCGAACCUACAUAGGUAGACUCAAAUGAGGGACCAAACAUCCAUGAACAUGACUCUAAAAUACUCCCCAAAAACUCCUUAAAACACCUUAAAACAAUCAUAGAAAACAUGCAAAGGAGGGCUGAACAGGGCACUUUCGGCGGUAGGUUCGGCGGCCGAAAGGCCCUCUAGAGCCGAAAGUCAUGCACCUUCGGCGGCACUUUCGGUGGCCGAAGGUUCCCUCCAGAGACGAAACUCAUGCAUGUUCGGCGGCACCUUCGGCAGCCGAAACUCCCUUCCAGAGCCGAAAGUCAUCUUUCGGGGGCAGGGUUCGGCAGCCGAUUCAUGCUACCACAGGCAGGUUCGGCGGCCGAAAGAACCUUCGGCUGCCGAACUUGGUUUCUCCCAAAAGGGUAGAAACUCAACUCAACAUGCAUAAACGCCUCCCAACUCAUUCAAUCAUGCAUAUUCCCAUUCUACAACAUGCAUACUCAAGUAUACAAGCUCCUAGGGGCUUCAAACUAUCAUAAACCCCAACUACAACACAUCAAACAUGCAUAACCAACAUACAUUGCUCAUAAACACACAUUUAACCAAAAAAUCAACAUAAACCUACACAUGCAUUUCUACCUCAAAAACUUCAUAAAACUUACUUAAAACAUGAAAGGAACUAUGGAUCUACUCUUACCUCUUGAAGAACGAGGGGAGAGACGAUCCGACUCGGAGAUGGGAGAGAUUCGCUCUUUGGUCUCCAAGUUUCCAAAACUUGCUCUUUUUGCUCAAAUCUCUUCAAAUCAACAUAAAACUUGUUAAAACAUGAAAGACCGGAGGAAAAACAUCAAAAACGAACCAAAGGAGAGCAUGAACUCAUCGUAGCUGAAAAUGGGGAGAAAACUCGCCCGUUUCGGCCAUGGAGCUCUUAUAUAGGGCUGGCAGACCACCUUUCGGCAGCCGAACGUGCCCCCACAUCUCAUGCAAGUUCGGCGGCCGAACAUGAGGUUCGGCGGCCGAACCUUUGAGGCUUUUGGAAGCCUAACAUGCCCCCCUAAACCAUCCCACAUUCGGCGGCCGAACCUGGAAAUGCCUCCUUGGUCUUUUUCAUACAAAACUCAAUUUCCUUUUUACUUAAAAACAUAAAAUACAUUAAAACGUUUUAUAAAAACAUGAUUUUACCCUUCUAAAGGUUUCCGACCUCUGGGAUUCCACCGGACGGUAGGAAUUCCGAUACCGGAGUCUAGCCGACUAUUACAUAUAUGAUAAAAAAGAUACAUUAGACUUAUUUAGAUAUUGUCAUUUUAUUUUACACCACUAAAGCAAAGAGGAAAAAUAAAAAGAUAAAAAAGAGUGAAGAAUUUUUAUAGUAUCUUGGUGAUUGCAUAUAGCAUGACCCAUAUGACUGACAACUUAAUAAAAUAUAAAUAAAUCUGCAAAAAUAAUUUUUAAAAAUAGGAAAAUGAAUCUAAAAAAUACCCAGGAAUCUCUCUUUUUUUUUCAAAAAAAAAAUAAUUAUAUUUUAUUACAUAUUAAAUUCUUAUAAAUUUUUAACUUGAAAAAGAAAAAAGCCCAACAAACAGAGUAUCAAAUUAUUGGAACAUCAUUGAGCACUGUUACAGACAGUAACACUGAACAGAACAGUAUCACAAUCGGAAAAAAAAAUAUUUAAAUUAAAAAGAAAAGAUAUUUUAAAACGUAAAAUCUGUAAAUCAUUGGAUAUUCAAUUAUUGAAGGACAAGUGAGUGCAUACCAGCCGCACGCUUCUGUUAUCUCUGCGUGGAGCAAAGAGAAAACAAGAAGCUUUUAAAACCACGGAGGACAUUUCCUGAUUCCAGAGCCUGUGAAACAGAAAUGCAAAUGGAGACAUCAAGCAGAAGCAGUUCAGUAGCAGUAGCAAUUAUAUUGGUGAUAAUAGUGACGUUGGGAUGGAGAGUGCUCAACUGGGUGUGGUUUAGGCCAAAGAAGCUUGACAGAUUUCUGAGAAAACAGGGACUUGCAGGCAAUCCAUACAGGUUUUUUCAUGGAGACUUGAAACAGAG